rnacentral:RNase_P_RNA from 1 species
AGAGUUGGUUAGACAAUCGCUCUUUGCUUUUAGCAAAGGGAGGAAAGUCCGGGCUCCAAAGGGCAGAGUGCCAGGUAACGCCUGGGAGGUGUGAACCUACGGAAAGUGCCACAGAAAAUAUACCGCCUCUUUGAGGUAAGGGUGAAAUGGUGCGGUAAGAGCGCACCGCACGAUUGGCAACAGUCGUGGCAGGGAAAACCCCACUCGGAGCAAGACCAAAUAGGAAUCCAUGUGACUGCAAAGUCAUGACGUGCGGCCCGUACGGGAUUCGGGUAGGUUGCUUGAGGCAUGCGGUGACGCAUGUCCCAGAUGAAUGAUUGUCCGCGACAGAACCCGGCUUAUCGACCGACUCUUUUA